rnacentral:rRNA from 1 species
GAUCCUGGCUCAGGAUGAACGCUGGCGGCGUGCCUAAUACAUGCAAGUCGGACGCAAUGCUUCGGCAUUGAGUGGCGAACGGGUGAGUAAUACAUAAGCAACCUGCCCCUGUGAGGGGGAUAACUGCUGGAAACGGCAGCUAAGACCGCAUAGGCAUACAUGACGCAUGUCGAGUAUGUUAAAUAUCCUACGGGAUAGCACAGGGAUGGGCUU